AUGACCCAACUUUAUACUAACUUUAGUAUAAAGUUGGGUCAUCUAUCUCAUUUUGGAACGGAGGGAGUAUCUGGGAGGGAGAAGCGUCUGUAUGGCUGCAUGCUUAAUCCUAUGAAGGUCAAAAAGUCCUUUAUCCUUGAGACUGCCUUCUGGAAAGAACAAGAUCAUCGAGAAGUGACCACGCACACUCUCAUCCCUACAGACAUACUCAACAAGGGUGCUCUUCCCUACUCUUCUUGGACCAAUGAUUGGAAGUACAGCCAAGUCUGGCAUAACAUUGGGACACAACAAGAAUUUCAGGACCCAUUCCCGUUCAGUUUGGCGACCAAACAUGCAAUUGUCCAAGAGCAAAUAUGUGCCGUAAGGUUGGCGAAGGAUUCGAGGAUACAAUUCCAAGAAGAAAAGAAACUCCUUCAUACCGGCCACGGUGUCUUCAAGGGUAUCAACCAUCUGUUGCAGCUCUUCUCGCAUGUUGUUGUUUGUGCUGAACAACAGUGCUUCUCUGUUGCUGCUGCCACUGCCGGUCCGAGAGAAACGGAGCCGUUUGGCUGGACUGAAUUUAGAGAGCGCAGAUGA
rnacentral:rRNA from 1 species